ACUCCAGAAAUUUAGGCCCAUGAUCUCCACUCCUUUUACAAAUUUUCUCCAGCAAGUCCUGAUGAUCGGAGCAGUUUAAAGUGGUUAAAUUAGCAGCAGUUCACGUCAGUUCCACGCUCUCUCUCCUAGAAUACAGCGGUUGGCGACAGUUUUACUAUAUCAGCGCUCCCACUUCCGGCGAACUGCACACGUUAUCCUCCACCCACGUUUGCCGCUUUAUCCUCCCAACCACCCUAGCCCACCCAUUAUAUAAACCCUCCAGGCCAACACCAACCAGCAUCGCCGAGUUCAUAUUCAUCCUUCUCACCCACUACCAGUAACGUUGAAGAGGGCUUUGAUUCUUCCGGUGGAUUUAUCGAGUUCGUAACCGAUGACGCCGAUUGGAAGAAUACCCUUCAGGAAUCCGUGUGUAAUUAGCAGGUUUCAUCUCAUCUCACCUCAAUUAGAAAUUAGCCCCAAAUCUCGCUUCUGUUGCAUUCGAGUUCCAUACGGACACCACUGCCUCCCAACCAUGAGAUUGAAGAGCGACGAAGGCGAAAUUUAAUGAACAAAGUCAGGCAGGAAGGAAACAGUUUUGGAUUUAGCCAAGUUUGUUGACAAGGGUAUCAAGGUCAAGCUCACUAGGCGAAGACAAGGUU